rnacentral:rRNA from 1 species
CUGAACCAGCCAAGUAGCGUGAAGGAUGACUGCCCUAUGGGUUGUAAACUUCUUUUAUAAAGGAAUAAAGUCGGGUAUGCAUACCGCGUUUGCAUGUACUUUAUGAAUAAGGAUCGGCUAACUCCGUGCCAGCAGCCGCGGUAAUACGGAGGAUCCGAGCGUUAUCCGGAUUUAUCGGGUUUAAAGGGAGCGUAGAUGGAUGUUUAAGUCAGUUGUGAAAGUUUGCGG